CAACUUACAACAACGGAUCUCUUGGUUCUGGCAUCAAUGAAGAACGCAGCGAAAUGCGAUAACUAUUGUGAAUUGCAGAAUUCACUGAAUCAUCGAAUCUUUGAACGCACAUUGCGCCCCUUGGUAUUCCAUGGGGCAUGCCUGUUCGAGCGUCAUUU
rnacentral:rRNA from 1 species